rnacentral:rRNA from 1 species
CGUUAGCGGCGGACGGGUGAGUAACACGUGGGUAACCUACCUAUAAGACUGGGAUAACUUCGGGAAACCGGAGCUAAUACCGGAUAACAUUUGGAACCGCAUGGUUCUAAAGUGAAAGAUGGUUUUGCUAUCACUUAUAGAUGGACCCGCGCCGUAUUAGCUAGUUGGUAAGGUAACGGCUUACCAAGGCAACGAUGCAUAGCCGACCUGAGAGGGUGAUCGGCCACACUGGAACUGAGACACGGUCCAG